ACGGGUGCGUAACGCGUGGGAAUCUGCCCUUUGGUUCGGAAUAACAGUUGGAAACGACUGCUAAUACCGGAUGAUGACGUAAGUCCAAAGAUUUAUCGCCAGAGGAUGAGCCCGCGUAGGAUUAGCUAGUUGGUGUGGUAAGAGCGCACCAAGGCGACGAUCCUUAGCUGGUCUGAGAGGAUGAUCAGCCACACUAGGACUGAGACACGGCCCAGACUCCUACGGGAGGCAGCAGUGGGGAAUAUUGGACAAUGGGCGAAAGCCUGAUCCAGCAAUGCCGCGUGAGUGAUGAAGGCCUUAGGGUUGUAAAGCUCUUUUACCCGGGAUGAUAAUGACAGUACCGGGAGAAUAAGCUCCGGCUAACUCCGUGCCAGCAGCCGCGGUAAUACGGAGGGAGCUAGCGUUGUUCGGAAUUACUGGGCGUAAAGCGCACGUAGGCGGCUUUGUAAGUUAGAGGUGAAAGCCUGGAGCUCAACUCCAGAAUUGCCUUUAAGACUGCAUCGCUUGAAUCCAGGAGAGGUGAGUGGAAUUCCGAGUGUAGAGGUGAAAUUCGUAGA
rnacentral:rRNA from 12 species